AUUUAUGUUCUCUGAUGAAAUAAAUUGUUUUAAUUUUGGUGGGUAUCGUCUUUUCUAACAUAACGCCUCACUGCUAAUCCGCACCUGUAUUUGUAUUUAUAGUCGUAUCAGUUCAAAUACUAGUCUGACAAGUUUUAAUCCCACGGAAUUUUCAUGGGCAAAUUUAGUGCAGUGACAAGUACAUUCUUUAUCGGAAAUCCGUAGAGGACAGAUCGUUUACAAAAAUUUAAAGAAGAUUAAGACGGAAAACUGCAGCGCUACUGUUUUGAGAAUUCGCAAUUGAGAUGAGUAUACAUUAUAUAUUGUCUUUAGAUGUCUGCGCUUAUAAUUUUGAUUGCUCAACUUUCUGUUUAUACGGCAUUUGAAUAUGUCCUCUGGAAAGUAACGGAGACACGUGUUCAUCGUACAAUCAGCAAGAUAUUGGUUAUUUGGUUUUAUUCAAUCACUGACUGAAUCAGUCUGAAGUGAAUUUUAGUUAUAUAAAAAUAAAUAAAUAAAAUUAACAGACAUAGUGAGCUGACAAACACUCACAGAUAAAACAUGGGUGUGGUCGAGCGUUUUUUUUUUUUGGUUUGCAUGUACAUGCGCAAAAAUGCAGUACGUUAGUUCCUGUACAUUAUUCUCGGUCAUUAUUAUCUAUGGACUUUAAUCAUACGUACAAUUUGCAUGUACUGGUUUCACCCGAGGUGUAUUGAGGUUUAUGCAUUUCUAACGUACAUUGCUGCGGAAAUAUUUUGUAACAUGAUUUAGUAUCGCUGGGAUUAAUCAAAGAAUUUUGCUUGUAGCUUAAUAUAAUUUCGAAAAAAAAAAAAAUUACAAACUAUAUGUCAUUAAAUCAAAUAGAAAUAUACAUUUGGUUGUUUCUUACCAAUUGUCAAAAUUAUACUUUAAAUAUCUUGCUUCAAAUGAUAAAAAGCAUGCUGCAUAGUCUAGUUACAGCUUAACAGAUCCGAUGAGAAAGGAGCGACAUACAAUUAAUUGGUUCCAUGCCGUUUUCAACAGUAUUUCAGUCAGAUGGUUGAAGUGUUCGUAGAGACUGCACAUAGGAAAAUUGGUAUGUAACAAGGUAAUGUAAGCUUACGCUUUUUACGUGUCCAGGAACGAAAUUGCCUAUAUUAACUUGAUUAGCUAUACUGGCAAGAGAACGUUCCAGUUGGGUUCGUACCAUGGCAUGAAACAUUAACAGCUGACAAGAAAGAUACGUGUAUAUUGGAUGUUUUCAUAAUGUAACAUAUUGGUUAGCUGCUGUUUGUUAGAUAUAGAAAGAAACGUAAGAUAUAUUUUCAUUUUAUACAUCAGCAGUGUAACCUAGAUCUCAGCUGUUGUAAUGUAUAACAGUAAAUGAUAAGCGAUGCUUAUGAAAAUUAAUAACAUACUGUCACAAUUCUAAGUUGUAGAAAUAUUUCCUAAAGCAUGAAAGCGUCAUGUUUAAAUCAAAUAAUUCACGGAUUUAUAGAUAUAUUAUUAAUUUAUUGUAAUGAAAUUACAAAGCUCUUUCAGAACUGUUAAACAAUAUAAUGCGGACAUGUUCGAAGUAAGACGCAGUUCUAGCCUGUACGCUUUGAUGCGGAUAAUCAAUUCAUUACGUCAGCAACUGUAACACCAGCAUUAACACGGUCAAUCUCUGGUAAGGGGCUGCAGAAAAUUAAUGUCGUCAACCGGCUAUUCUCCUAAUGUCUUUAAACAGUUUAGCUGCAGGAGCGGCGUGGCAUGGUCGGGGUCGGCAGCUAUUGGGGCGCCUUGUGUUGAAAGGUAACUGCUGUACCUGGUUAAUUUUAUUAGAUCCGAUAUAUCUAGGUCCGUUGCAUGCAUUACUUAACUGCCUGAAUGUAAAAGAAUAAGUUAUAAAAAUGCAUUGAUAUAGAAAACGAAAUAAUCAAGAAAUAUCGAAAAUAGGUGUAAAACAGAAUUGAAUCAAUUAUGAGAAUAAUGUUAAUAAUAACAAUUAUAAUAACAAUAAUGAUAUGAAUAAUAAUUUCAAUAAUAUGAAUGCAAAGAAGACGUCACAGGAAACUGUUCAAGCAUAUUCUGUUUAUGACGUAACAAGUCAGUGACAGUAAGACUCUUCUAAUUGAAAGUCUUAUGGCUAAUGGUUUCCUAUUCGUCCGCCCGUCCGUCCGUUCGUCUGAUGUUCGUUCAAAAUAAAUAGAUAAUACAUUUUGACUGAAACCUCAGCAAAAGAUUUCAUGAUGACCCUGACUUAUAGUAAUCGAACUAUUGGAUAAUAUGUACAUGUACCUGAAUGACAUUGUAACAUUUAAAGAGAUACAAUAUGUAAAAUAUGCAGCGAGUUUCAUAGAUUUUGAUACAUCUUAAAAAUUAAGGUACAUAGCAAAAAGGAAUUUCUAGCUCUAGACUAACUGUUUGUCAAUGACCUGCUGUACCUAUUGAGUAAACGUGUAUUCACUGCAUACCUCGUUUUGGCGAAUUUUAUUUUCAUAAAAUGUUGAGUGGCCCUCAAUACACGUAAUGUGCAUUUCGGUAUGGCAUAUUGUAAAUCUUAUAAGUACUAAAAUCUAAAAUGCAUUACAUUCGUUGAAAUCUGUAGUUAUCAUCUUAUAUCGCAGAGAUCGGUGAGAGCAUCUUUGCCUCGUUUCUCAUUAGUGCGAAGUACUAGAACCUACAAUUUCCUAUUAGAUCUGGUAUGUUCUGCGCUUAUUUUCAUAGUUUUCUGCACCUUCGCGCUGCUAUGUUGCUUCCAGGCAUUUUAGCUGGAGCUUUGUCUUUCAUAUUUUCUCAUCAUUUUCAUAUAUACCAUGCUAUAUAUUUACAAUAUGCCAUAAUUUUCAUUUGAAAAUUUACAAUAAAGUCACGGCCUUAUCCCACAUAAUUUUGUUUUGUUUUUGCUAUAUUACUUGGUACAUUCACCUUUGUCUUAGAACCGAUGAACUCCCUUAUGCAGUCAGACCCGUACUGUAGACAGCCUCCAAAAAAUAUAACCUGCUUACUAUGGUCACACGUCAUCUGUCUUGAGAAAAUAUAUGUUUUCACAAAUACCGGCAUUUUUCAGUCCCCAAGGGAGGUUCUGCAGCCGGUUUUGACUGUAUAUAUAUAUAUAUAUAUAUAAAUACCCUAGCACCCACCCAUAAAUUAAGUAAAUUUAUGUUCUCUGAUGAAAUAAAUUGUUUUAAUUUUGGUGGGUAUCGUCUUUUCUAACAUAACGCCUCACUGCUAAUCCGCACCUGUAUUUGUAUUUAUAGUCGUAUCAGUUCAAAUACUAGUCUGACAAGUUUUAAUCCCACGGAAUUUUCAUGGGCAAAUUUAGUGCAGUGACAAGUACAUUCUUUAUCGGAAAUCCGUAGAGGACAGAUCGUUUACAAAAAUUCCCUCCCACCCUUCCCAUUACAGUAACUUUGUUGUUUUUUCACAUAUUUCUGCCGUCAAGUUUAAUCUGUUUCAGGGUCACAAUGGUGAAUCGUACUGCUGAACCCUGCCACAAAAUGUACUGCUGCACCAGACAUGUCACGCCGCUUCUGUAAUCUAUUGUCUAUUGGAGAACAAACUCUUUACAGUGUGUGUGUAUAAACUCAAUUUUGCUAGUAUGCUUCUGUUGGUACAUUUAAUCAUCAUGGAACAAUACGGUUGAAUGAAACGGGCUUGAUUUUUAACUGCAUGUAUUCAUUUAUAAACAUUCCGAAUGUUACUAUCUUUUUCUUUUUGGUACUCUGUUUGUUGUUUUUUUGUUAAAUUUGGUUUGAAUUUAAGAACGAAGAUAUCAUGAAUUAGUACGGGUUUACUACACAAAGCGAUAGCAUGCAGGUUCGCCAAAUUCUGGCAUUGUAUUUGCAGAAAUAUGAGGAGAUGGUCUUAAUGUCAUUUAUUCUGUAAAAAAAAAAAAAAAAAAAAAACAUAA